CUGAUUGGGGCCUGUGCACACUUGGGAUAGCAUCUAGAAAGAAAAAUCCCUAAGAAUGUGAAAAUGUAGAAAUUUGAAUUAUGUUGAUGCUGCUGUGGACUUGUUACCCAGAAUGAAGCCUCAAUUGCAGCCUAGUAGGGUUUCUUGUCCCAUGAAGUCAUACUGAAGGAAGAUUGGAGGGACAGAAAAAGCUUACCCCCCUGCUGGGAAUGGAAAGUACGUGUUAGGCACUUGUGGGAUUGGAUGAGAAAAGGACUUCAGAUGAACGAGAGGCUGGCGCAGCACCAUGGACAGCAGACACUCCAGCGUCCACCUCAAAUUACUUAGGGCGGGUUUGCGUGAGAGUCUCCCUGCAGACUGUAAUUCUAGCUCUUGUAUGACACCAUUAUGGUACCAUAGAUAUUGCCAUGAUGACCAAAUAAGGCUUCAAUUUCUUAGGCCCUCCGAGAUUAGCCCUAAUUUAAUCUAUUCCACAUUAUAUUUCAAUUUCCAUUAUGCCUCAGGAGUUCAGAUCCAGGCCAGAGAAUUUUGUGUGAUUCAUUAAUUUAAUUGGAACUUAGUUUUUAACUACAUCAUUUCAUGGACCAGACACUAACUGUGAAGUAAAGUCUUUACUGUUUCUCUAUUACUUCCAUUGUUUCUCUGCCUUCUCCCAUCACCACUAUACCCUGUACCUUCUUUCACAGGGAUUUGUUUUUUGGGGGACUUAAACUCCAUCUCCUGUGUGAGCCCUCAGAUGGCACCUCCUUGGGAAAACUUUGUCACACUUUUCUCACACCCCAGUCUCUCUCUUCACUCCUUUAUUUGCUUUAUUUUUACUUCUUUUUUGACAUAUCAACUUCUUCUGGUAUUGCUGUUAUUUAUGUGCUCAUCUUCUCUCCCUGGAGGACAGAGUUAGUGCCUGAUUCUCUGUUGUGCUUGGGACUAGUGCUGUUUAUUCAAUUCUUAUUUUUCCAUUUAUACUGAGGAUAUUGAUGAACAAGGCCCUGUUUUCCAAAACACUGACAAUACUAUUUUGGAACAUACUUAAAUGCAGUGUGUGUAUAUAAUUCAACUAUUUAUCAUAAUGGAAGGCGGACAGGACCAUGACAAAUGGGAAACAAAAACACAGUUCCACUUGUAGAGAAAAAAGCACCACAUUGUCUUUCUGAGGGGAAAAAAAGGUAUUUCUAGUUUUAAAGGGCAAUCUCACUGACUAAAAAGGUGGAGAGAAAGUUUGGAGAACAGCAUAUAGUGAAUUGAUUAAUUUUUAAUGCUACACGAUGACUCUCAAAAGGGCUAUUAAGAUGAGCCAGCCUUGCCUUUUCUUGGCUAGAUUGGUUUGUCUCCACGUGAAGAAGAGAUAGGAGAAAGCACCAGAUCUUUUCAAAGGGCCUGUUUACUCGUGGUAUUCAGAUCAAACAAGAUAAGUGGGAUGAUUGGGAAUUCUUUAUUUGCACUUCUAAUUGUUUCCUUAAAUGUGACCAUAAAAAUUCAUUUAGAAAACUGCGGCAGAUUUAAGGAGAUAAAAUAAAACCUCAGAUGGCUGUUAGUAAUACAAAUAGCUUACAGUGUUUCUGCAAACUGCAUGUCAGCCACAAUUAACAAUAUGAUGUUUAUUUUGGUGUGGGUGGAUACCCCAGCAAGCAGUCUCUGUCUGUACAUCGAUGGAUCCUUUUAUCAUGUCUUCGUAAGUGAAACAUUCUGUCUUGCAGAAGACAGAUGGACGCACGGCACGUCCUCACAGCGCAACCACUUAUGGCAGUGGAAUCUGUCGGACAAACAGGUCCGCACUGGCCCGUGAGCAACGCCUACCCCUGGUGGAGGAAACCUACACACAUGCAGGAGCUCUGAUCGCAAUCAUCACACGCUCACUUUUUUUUUU